ACGCUCGACACCUACGGGAGGUAGCAGUGGGGAAUAUUGCACAAUGGGGGAAACCCUGAUGCAGCGACGCCGCGUGAGCGAAGAAGUAUUUCGGUAUGUAAAGCUCUAUCAGCAGGAAAGAAGAAAGACGGUACCUGACUAAGAAGCCCCGGCUAACUACGUGCCAACAGCCGCGGUAAUCUGAGCGGGCUGGCAAGGC
rnacentral:rRNA from 1 species